UGUUGAUGUUGUUGAUGUUGUUGUUGUUGUUGUUCGUGUGAGAGGAGUCUAUGAUGGAGUUGGAGGUGCCAGGGUAUGAGAAAUAGAAGCGUUGGGAGGCAAAGACGGAGGCAAAGUCUGUUGGUGGAGGAGGAAGAUCAUCAUCAUUAUCAUCAUCAUCAUCAUCUUCCUCAUCCAUGGAGUUGGAGUGGUUGGUGUUCAGGUAGAUCAUGCUUGAAUUAGUACUAGGAGUACUGCCAGGUGCUGAUGGUUGGGAUAGAUUAAUGGCAGAUGUGUAUUUCAGUUUCAAGAAACAAAGAUGAAGCUGUUUAGACAACAUCAUUAAUUUGCACAAUGAAAUCAUACUGGAAACAACAAAACACUCAUUGUGUGUUUCUGUUUGGCCGGCUAGCUCUCUUUUUUGGAAAGGACAUAUAUCAC
rnacentral:lncRNA from 1 species